GAUGAACGCUGGCGGCGUGCCUAAUACAUGCAAGUCGAGCGAACGGACGAGAAGCUUGCUUCUCUGAUGUUAUCGGCGGACGGGUGAGUAACACGUGGUUAACCUACCUAUCAGACUGGGAUAACUUCGGGAAACCGUAGCUAAUACCGGAUAAUAUUUUGAACCGCAUGGUUCAAAAGUGAAGGACGGUCUUUCUGUCACUUAUAGAUGGAUCCGCGCUGCAUUAGCUAGUUGGUAAGGUAACGGCUUACCCAGGCAACGAUGCAUAGCCGACCUGAGAGGGUGAUCGGACACACUGGAACUGAGACACGGUCCAGACUCCUACGGGAGGCAGCAGUAGGGAAUCUUCCGCGAUGGGCGAAAGCCUGACGGAGCAACGCCGCGUGAGUGAUGAAGGUCUUCGGAUCGUAAAACUCUGUUAUUAGGGAAGAAGAUAUGUGUAAGUAACUGUGCACAUCUUGACGGUACCUAAUCAGAAAGCCACGGCUAACUACGUG
rnacentral:rRNA from 1 species